rnacentral:rRNA from 1 species
UUUCCGUAGGUGAACCUGCGGAGGAUCAUUA